rnacentral:lncRNA from 1 species
AACUCUCUCUCUCUCUUCCUCCCAAGUCCUCUCCCUUCUAUCUACACUUCUCCCAUUUCCUCUCUUCCACCACCGCCGACGACAACGGCGACAGCGGCGUUACCGCCGCUCCUCCAUAUUCCUCCUCUUCUCUUUUGUUUCCUCUCCCACUUUUCUUCAUCCUCUGCUUUUCCUCUCCUUUUUCCUUUUCUUCUGCCUCUCCUUCUUCCUUUCUCUAGCGGCGACGCCCCCGCAGCAGCC